ensembl:lncRNA hemogen
GAAACAGGGGCAGGGUGACCCAAGUGCCCCAGCCAUGCAGACCACACUGACCCGGGAGUGUGCCAAGAACAACCAAUAAAGAAUAUGCUCCUGUGAGAGCACGGAUCCAGCCUCAUUCUUCCCACUGGAUUUACUGGUGCUGCGUAUUGCCAGUCUGCUUCAUGAGGGAUGUGAUUUGCUCUCGAGCUUGUGGGUGACUGGCUGGGUACAGGACCAACGAGUCACUGGGGAAUCCUCAACCUCUGCAAUCCCUUGGUGGGAGUCUCCAUGGAUUCAUUAUUUUGUCUGGAUUUCCCAGCAAGGUGGUGCAGGCCUUGAACAGGUCACCAGAGAGUUUGGGUGGAAACCCAGUCCUUGGGGAUUUCCGCAGUCUGGUCGCACAAAGCCGCAGCCACCUGGACCUGUUGCUGGGGACAGUCCUGCUGCGAGUGAGGGGGCUGGACCGGAGAUGCAGGUUCCUUCCCACCAGCACUGCUGGGCCCUGUGAUCUGCUGGGGGGGGCCUAUGCACGCAUCUUUUGAACAGCUUAUGUCCCAUUUCACACCUCUCGCAAGAGGUCCUUGAGGGCUGAUAACACCUCCCUGCCUCUCUGGAAAUCAGCCGCUAGACAGUGCCGCAUCCUGCUCUGCCAUGCAGCCGCUCUUGGUUAUAAAGGAGAGCAUCCAAGCCACAGUUUAGCAGCAGCGAAUGUAAACUUCCUGUGCAAAGUGGAAUUACUUGCUGCACAGAAGCACUAACGUGUUUUGCAGUCAAUACAGUAGGACCUGGGCAGACACUCGCACACCUUUGCACGGUGAUAAGGAGAAUAUUAUUACCCUGCUAGUGGCCUGGCCAGAUAAGCUGUUUUGGGCGGGCAGUCUGCACUUUUUUCAAGCUCUCCUUUUGCUGCACCACUAACUCCAGAUGACCUUCCCAAGGAACUAAGCUGCUUUUUAUUUAAAACUGCAAAGAGCAAUGGAGAGUUUAGGUAAAGACCACGCUUACUCGGACCCUUCCCUGCCAGCCUCUGCAUCCCGUGAGGAAUACGCUGUGCCAGAUGUCAUCAUCACACGCCGCUUGAGAGACCGGGAGUUGCUCCGGAAAAGAAAAGCAGAAGCCCAGGAGAAAGACUCAAUUCAGGAGCAGGAGAAGAGCAAACGGCAAAAGAGGGGCAGAGGAGCAGGCAGAGGACGAGGCCGCCAGCCAGUUUUGGAGCCCAAGCCAGAGCCCAGCCCGGAGCCAGACCCUCAGCCUGAAGUGCUGGAGGGGAACGAGCAGGCACCAGCUGAGCCAGCAACACCCAUGCCAGCGUGUCAAGCCCCGCUGCCCGUGUUGACCUCUCAGGAGCUCUUCGGUGGGACCCCUCAGGGAGCUGUGGAAGGGGAGCUGGCAGACGGGAGCCAGUGUCCAGCGGGUGAAGAGGCAGUCCUGAAACCAGGCGAAGCAGAAAUACCGGAGGGUUUGAAUAUUCCUCUGGAAAAUGACCACCAGGAUAAUGAAUACUACACACCAGUUCUAUUUUAAUUUUUUGUUUUGUCUUCUGUCUGAUAAACUCAAGCAUUGUAGAGUGAUUUAGAUCAGCUGUUUCCAUGUGAGUAAUAAAACCCAGCUGUCCUGGCA